UUUUACAAGAAGUCUGGUACCCUGAACUGACCUGAGGCGCGUCAGCGCAGGAAAGGCGGUACCCUGCUGAGCCCCGCCCCUUUCCACCCCGAGGGCGGGGCCGUAAUCUUCCCUUCAGUUGCAGAGGGCGGUGCCCGACCCUGCCCGGGGGGGCCGUUCUUAGAGGCCAGGGGCAGGUCAGAGAAACGGCCGCUGUAGGCAACGCCUUGGAACCCGCGGGCGGUGACUGCCACAGGUGCCGCGCAGGGCAGUGUCCGAGCUCUGGGCAUCAAAACUCCGGCGCUGGAAACUAAGCCUUCCGAGCUGCUCCCAGCCCUGGACACCGAGGUCCCCGGGCCAGAGAUCGGAGCCCUGGGUUCAUCCGAAGAGCGGGGCCUCGAGGCCCCCGGGUCAGACAGCGAAGUCCGGGGCCUGCCCCAGAGCAGGACGCCGAAGUCCACAGGCCGGGAGGCAAGGUCUCCGUGCCCCCUUUAGAGCAGGGCGCGGAGAUCUCUGAGCAAGAGAGCGAAGUCCCGGGUCCAUCAGCGGGGCUGGACGCAGAACGCCCCGGGCCGUCUGCAGCUGAGGGUUUUGGGAGUCUCUGGUCCGGCAACCACGACCCCGAGUCGUCUGAAGCUCGAAGCGCGGUGGUCCCGAAGCACUGUCCUCUUCAGGAUCCCGAGACCUCGUCCCCGGAGUCAGACUCCGAAGGCCCCCUGCAGCAUUUUCUACCGCUCCCGAAGACCGCCCCCCCCCCCGACCAGGGCCCCGAGGAGCCGCUCAUGGAGACGCCCAUUGAACGAGAAAUACGACGCAGCUGCGAACGCGAGGAGAGCCUGCGCCGGAGCCGAGGCCUGAGCCCUCGCCGCGCAGGCCGAGAACUCGUCGAGCUGCGCGUGCGGCCAGUGCUCAGCCUGCCCGGCCCCGGCCCCGCGCUCCCGCGCGCCUUGGAGCGCGCGCGGGCGGGCGCGCAGAUGCAGCGAGAUAUCGAGCGGGAGGCCCACCGUCAGGCGGCGCUAGCGAGCCCCGCAGCCCCAGAGCAGCGCGCCGGGCCGCAGCCGCAGCCGUUGGGUGAGCUCCGGCGAUUCUUUGAGGCCGCUGGGGGACGCGGCUCCUUGCCGGCGGCUGAAGGCGGCGCGGACCUGCAGGGGCUGCCGGAUCCCGGAGGCCGGCCGCGCUUGGCGGUGCAGGGUCGGUGCCCGGUGCUGGCCCGCGCCCCGCCGCGGGUCGCGCCGUCGUUGCUGGAGCAGGAGGUGCGCGAGGUGCUUGAGCGCGAGCGGGAGCUGCAGCGCCAGCGGCUCAGCGUCUACGGCACCGCCGAGUUCAAGGAGCCCGCGCCGAGCCUCACGGGUUGCUCCCUCCUUUCAGAAUGGAGGUUUCCAUGGGAAGGAGGGUAAACGCCUGUGUGUUUAAGGGGCGCGGCCGGCCUCCUUGGUCCUGGCAGCCUCCAGCUGGUGACAGGAGGGGCAACCCCGGCUGAGCGCCCCUUCCCCCGCAGCGAGCAGCGGCGACGGAAAGCUGGCGGUGAUCUGGCCUCCCCGCAGAAAGGCAUCUGAGAGCGGCUUGGAGCAGGAGGAGCAGAAGACUUGAUGUUCCAG